rnacentral:rRNA from 1 species
GCUAUUGGAGUUCGAUUAAGCCAUGCGAGUCGAGAGUCCUCGGGACUCGGCGUACCGCUCAGUAACACGUGGGUAACCUGCCCUAUGCUGGGGAAUAACCUCGGGAAACUGAGAAUAAUGCCCCAUAGCCCACUACGCCUGGAACGGUGAGUGGGUCAAAGCUCCGGCGGCAUAGGAUGGGCCUGCGCCGUAUCAGGUUGUAGGGGGUGUAAAGUACCCUCUAGCCAUCAACGCGUACGGGUGUUGGGAGACAUUGCCCGGAGAUGGAUUCUGAGACACGAAUCCAGACCCUACGGGGUGCAGCAGGCGCGAAAACUUGGCAAUGCGAGCAAUCGUGACCAGGGAACUCCAAGUGCGUAGGGUAAGACCUACGCUUUUCUUGACUCUUCAAAGGUCUUGGAAUAAGGGGUGGGUAAGGACGGUGCCAGCCGCCGCGGUAAUACCGGCGCCUCAAGUGGUAGUCGCUUUUAUUGGGCCUAAAACGUCCGUAGCCGGUCUGGUGCAUUCGUGGGUAAAUCAACCCGCUCAACGGGUUGAAUUCUGCGAGCACGGCCAGACUUGGGACCGGGAGAGGUGUGGGGUACUCUCAGGGUAGGGGUAAAAUCCUGUCAUCCUGAGAGGACCACCUGUUGCGAAGGCGCCAUACUAGAACGGAUCCGACGGUCAGGGACGAAACCUAGGGGCACGAACCGGAUUAGAUACCCGGGUAGUCCUAGGUGUAAACGCUGUGGACUUGAUGUUGGGGGCGCUCCGAGCGCUCUCAGUGUCGAAGCGAAGGUGAUAAGUCCACUGCCUGGGGAGUACGGUCGCAAGGCUGAAACUUAAAGGAAUUGGCGGGGGAGCACUGC